rnacentral:lncRNA from 1 species
GAACAUUUACAACUAUUCCAAUUGUUGUAUCAUGGAUAAGUCACUCCCAAACAUAUAAACCUUAUUGCACGUAAGCUUACUCUUUGAACUCAAGAGAUAUAUAUACUAUACAGAAGAAUCAUCAAUCGAGAUAUUCUAAGAAAAAAUCAUGAAAACACCAUGAAACAUACAGGCAAAAACCUCAGCAAAACAUAACCCAAACAUCAAUUUCUAGUAGUAAAAACGCAGCAGCAACAACUGUUUGAGGAACACAAAAAUUGUUGUUUUUGCACAGCAUUCUUCUUCCACCUUAAACCCACACAAAGCAGUUGUAAACUCCACCUUAGAACAGCCCCAAAAUACUACAAAAGCUGCAAAAAUCAGCAGCAAGCAGUCCGAAACGCUGCGACUUUCUCACCCAAAAACAGUCAAAAAAUUCCAGCUAAAACCUGCUGCCGAAAUCGCUCAAAAACAGUCCAGAAAUCUGGACCAAGACCAGUCAAAACUUAGCAAAAAACGGACAUAAGAUCUGCCGCAAAACUCAUCCCAAAACAUCACUCCAAACACCCCCCGUAACUUCUGAAAAUCAGCCAAGAAUGCAGCUUAAAUUCUUCCAAAACGCAGCAGAAAAUCGACCUGCAAAUAUCCUUGAAAGCACAUCUAAAC